rnacentral:rRNA from 1 species
GGAAGUUUGAGUGGAUCUGACCUUAGUACGAGAGGACCGGGUUGGACGGACCGCUGGUGAACCUGUUAUGCCGCCAGGUGUACGGCAGGGUAGCUACGUCCGGGAUAGAUAAGCGCUGAAAGCAUCUAAGUGCGAAACUAGCCACGAGAUGAGACUUCCUCACAAGGGUCGUCGGAGAUUACGACGUCGAUAGGCCACAGGUGUAAAGGUUGAGAGACCAAAGCCGAGUGGUACUAAUAGCCCGAAGCUUUCCA